rnacentral:lncRNA from 1 species
GGUCCAUGCUUGUGUCACUGAUUGGUCUACUAACAUCAGAAAAGUUCUUCAAGAACAUGCUCCAUUGCAUUCUGCGUGCCCCAAUGUCCUUCUUUGAUUCCACACCUACUGGUAGAAUUUUGAACAGGGUUAGUGCUUAUUUAACUUUAUGACCAUUCUCAUCAUCUGUCACAUGCUUACACACAAUUAAACUAAUUAUUAUUAUUUUUGCAUGGAACAGGCCUCUAAUGACCAAAGUGUUCUAGAUCUGGAAAUAGCAAACAAGCUAGGCUGGUGUGUGUUUUCAAUCAUACAAAUUCUGGGGACCAUUGGUGUGAUGUCACAAGUGGCAUGGCCAGUUUUUGCUAUCUUUGUUCCGGUGACAGUGGUCUGUUUCCUGUGUCAAGUAUGAACUCUUAAAAAUGACCUUCUGUUUCUAAUUAGCCUUUUCCUAUUACUUUUUUGCACUGUGAAUUCCAGGAAGAUUCACUAGCAGCAUCCUUUAUUUGAUGGUACCCAUUUCAUAAAAUGCUGAAUGUGUUCAUGUUUUGUAUGUGUGCAGCGCUACUACAUACCAACAGCGAGAGAGUUGGCUCGUUUGUCGCAAAUUCAAAGGGCCCCAAUUCUACACCAUUUUGCAGAAUCGCUAGCAGGAGCAUCAAGUAUCAGAGCAUAUGGACAGAAAGAUCGUUUCAGAAAAGCAAACCUUGGUCUUGUUGACAACCACUCCAGGCCAUGGUUCCAUAACAUUUCUGCAAUGGAGUGGCUUUCUUUCAGGCUAAACAUGCUAUCCAACUUUGUCUUUGCCUUUUCUUUGACUCUGCUAGUGAGCCUCCCUGAAGGUUUUAUAAACCCAAGUAAGCUCUAUAUGCAGAUAGAGUCAUGGAUGAUUACAGAAGCCUCAAGCUAUCUUUUUUUUUCUGAACAUUAAAGCCUCAAGCUAUCUUGCGUUUGAUUAUUGCCAAACUAAUAUGAUUGUAUAUACAGGUAUUGCUGGACUUGCAGUGACUUAUGCAUUGAACCUCAACUCACAGCUGGCAUCCAUAAUUUGGAACAUUUGCAACACAGAAAACAAAAUGAUAUCAGUUGAAAGAAUAAUGCAGUACUCGAGGAUCCCUAGUGAGGCUCCUCUCGUAGUUGACCAUUACCGCCCACCAAACAGCUGGCCAGAUGCCGGAACUAUCAAUAUAAGAUCCUUGGAGGUAUGUGUAAUAUAUAUUACUGAAUUCUGACCCAGGUGUAAUUAUCAAGUGCGCGUCUGUAAAGUUUUAGUCAGCAAACCUAAAAAUCUCUCAUGGAGACUAAUGUCUGAAAAUGAACAAUCGUUUGCUAAAUCAAAGGUUAAACAACCUGCAGAAAGUGCUGCAAAGCAGAGUUCAUCUCAGGAAACUGCCGACUUAAUGACAUUUUGCAAUAUAUUUUACCAACGAGGAUAAUAAGACUACAUUUUUAAGUAUGAGAUAAAAAUAAAGAGCAGAAGUUUGCGCUUUCUAAUGCACAAAAUAUGGUUAUUCGAUUACAUAAACAAAAGUGGGAGUGCCACAGAUUGUAAAAAAUGAAGAAAUAUAAGACAAGGGUGGCAGAUAUAGAUACUGUAAAGCAUGCAAUUAACUGUCUUUUCUCUAUGAUGAGACAUGACACAUAAGAGUGGAAGUUUUUUUUUUCAGAAGGAAACUUCUGAUGUCAUUAACCCUGAUAUAUGCACUUUCCCAAUUGCAGCCACCUAAUGUUGUUGUUUGCUUUUAUAGGUUCGAUAUGCAGAGCAUCUCCCAUCAGUUUUGAGAAACAUAUCAUGCACAAUUCCAGGAAGGAAGAAGGUGGGGAUUGUAGGACGUACUGGUGGCGGAAAGUCAACUUUUAUCCAAGCACUUUUCAGGAUCGUUGAACCAAGGGGAGGAACAAUCGAAAUCGACAAUGUUGACAUCUUGAAAAUAGGGCUGCAUGAUUUAAGAGGAAGACUAAGCAUCAUUCCGCAGGAUCCAACGAUGUUUGAGGGAACAGUGAGAGGGAAUCUGGAUCCCCUGAAUGAGUACCCUGAUCAUCGUGUGUGGGAGGUAAUUUAAUGAACUACAGAUACCAUUAUGAAGGAAUCCCUUAUUUAAGAUGUCAAAUAGAGAGGCUAAAUCUUUGUAGCAUUAGCCAUUAUUGCUCACACUUAAUGUUCCACGUCACCAGAAAACAGGUUGUGGACGACAAUAUCUUUUGUGAAUAAAUUUUGGUAACAGCAUUCAGGACUAAAUCACCAAGACCAGUGAUUGUGCACUAUGAUGGUUUAAAUGUGGCUCCUGUGAAGUAGAAAAACACAUGUAAAAGUGCACCUAUUUUAGAGAACUAUAGAUGCAAAGCAGUGCCCCAGAGUUCUCUCAUAAUAUAAAACGGUAAAACCCUGAUGUAAUUUUUGUACAAAAUUGUAAUUUAAUCAAAACACAAUCUGUAAAUAAGAAAAUUACAAAGUUAUUAUAAAAUCAUGAUGACUAAGGUAAAGUGGUUUUAUUUCUUCAAGCAUAUGACCAGGAAUAAUUUUUUUUCUCCUUCUUUUGGACAGAUUUUGGACAAAUGCCAGCUUGGUGAUAUAGUUCGGCAAAACCCAAAGAAACUGGACUCUACAGGUAAUGUAUUCUUUUGAGCACAGCCAAAUAUAAAGUUUAGGAUGCAGGAAUAGAAAUUUUAAUGGUUGAUACUAUAGCCCUUUCAUAAUGAUACUGUCAUUGAGAUUAUGAGAUAUUUCCUGCAGUUGUCGAGAAUGGGGAAAAUUGGAGUGUUGGGCAGAGGCAACUAUUUUGCCUUGGAAGGGUUCUCCUAAAGCGAAGUAAUGUUCUUGUUCUUGAUGAGGCAACUGCUUCAGUUGACUCCUCCACUGAUGCGAUUAUCCAAAAAACGAUCCGCGAGGAAUUCGGGGAAUGCACGGUAUUGACAAUAGCUCACAGAAUCCACACUGUAAUUGACAGUGAUCUCAUUCUUGUUUUCAGUGAAGGUAAGCCACAUGAUUGAAGCACCAGUUCUCUACAUGUUACCAGACAUAACUGCUGGAUCACUAAUAUAUGUGUGCUUUAAUGAAUCAUUGUGCUGAGCAGGAAGAAUUAUAGAAUAUGACACGCCCUCAAAAUUACUAGAGAACGAGAACUCUGAAUUCUCCAGACUGAUAAAGGAGUACUCACGGCGAUCCCAUGGCUUUGGUGGAACAGCAAACAAUUGAAUGGCGACAAGAGAAUGAAUCCAAGAUGGUGAAAGUCGAUACAAAAGUUGAUUACCACACAAUAUAUCUACAUAUGACAAGUACGCACCAAACCGCACGGCCAGGAUUUACUAGGGUUGUGCUCGUAAUAGCUCUGAUUAAGAUUAUUCAAAAAAAUUGGAGUGAUGCAAUGUACUAUAGUUUACUGCAGAUACAGGACAUGAUGAAAAUAGGGAAACAAUAACUUGGUAGCUAUUCCGUAUAAAUUGUGCACUGAAAUGAACCAUGAAGUUGGAGUAAUUUACGCGUAACUAGAUGAAAAAAUGUUGGUUUAGUGUAGAACUUACAUCCAGCUCACUGGGUGCGGCAUUCCAUCGAGCUGCUUGUCUGUGGUGGGAGGCGCGCGCUCCGAGCCAUGCCUGCACGCGGAGCACCGCUGCCGUCGCGAGCUUACACCGAUCAGAUGGGAAGGUUCAGAGAAGCUAGAUACUAACAUGAUGCGCUGACGGCGCGACGCAGGCACAUCGUCAUUCCCCGCUCGAUGUCCCCAUCCGCGGCUCCGUGCGGCGCAUGCGCGCGACCCAGAAGCGAACGUCCACGGAGGGGAGGAUUAGGUUGGUGCACGGGCGAACUCUUGCCUUGAGCCCUGAGGCCUGGAGCGCCGCCGCCGGAGCCUGGAGGCAGG